GCAACAUAUCUUUUAAGUGUUCAAUCUCCACAUCACGAAUAGCCCUCAUAGCAGCACUUUGACGUUCAGCUGAAAAGAGAGUACAAUAAGCUUGCAGGAAUAUAUCAGAACAGAUCGGUCACACAGAACUUAUAUCAUACAUCAACACAUAAAAAAUAAACGAGAAUGGAUAAGAGAAUAUAGCUUCAUGGAUAUGAAGUUCAACCAAGCAAAUCAAAAUUUCCUGCUUCAAGAUUUCUGCACCCAAUCUAUAUAUGCAACCAUUGUCCAUGUGGUUUUCCUCUUACUAUAUUUUGUUUUUCUAAAAUAAACAACUUACUUUUUCUUUCAAAUGAUAAGACUAACAAACAUUUGUACAUUUAAAAGGUACCUUCUUGCUUGAAUAUAUCAUCUUCCAUUUUCACUUGA